rnacentral:lncRNA from 1 species
UUACAAGGCAAUAUUAAUCUGUAGGGGAAAAGAAGGGCAUAAAAGUAGACCGAAUCGCUCAGAAUAUCUAAGUGCCUUACUACACAUAAAACCUCAACUGCUAGUUCUGAAAAGUAACAAAUUUCAGGUACAAAAAUAUAAAAAGGUCAACAAGAUUACCAUACGAAGUUACAUACAAAGGCACCCAGUCCUCAUUGAGAAGGGUAAAUACAUGGUCCAGCCUUCCGCAUAGGUUAAUAAAGUACAAACAACAGAAAGUGCAUUAUACCAAAAACAUACACUACUAGAUAUAUUAUUCAGUUUUUAUUUUUAACAUGGCCUGAACCAUCCUCUACAGCCACAUUGACCUUUUCAUACCUGAAGUCUCCGGGAUGCACUGAGCUCUUCACUGGGAUCACUACCUCGGAAUUAUUGCCAAGUAUCACCCACAAAAAAAGUCCAAUAAAGGUCGCCAAUGCUAUACACCCUGAGGCAAAAAUAAACCCUGAGAGAAAUGCCAUAAGAUGAAACUUUUUUUUGUUAGCCAUCUUUUCCAGACUAUGUUCGUUGCCAAUUUUAAGUGGAUCCGCAGGCUGUGAAUGUAACCACUUUGGAACACUCCGCACUCUGAAGUUCCAUGAAUAGACGCUAGUAACUUGGAAUGAACUUCCAGUAGAAGAACUUAAUCCCACCAAUACUUCUUCGCCUUUCCACAUACUCGCCAAAUCGACCUGAUACACUAACAAGGGAUCGUACGGCCUAGGACUACCAAAUUCACUUAGUCUUACCUCUAAUCGUUUCAAAGUGCAUUCGUAAUCAACCCAAGAAUGCAGCUAUUUUCCACUAUUCAACACCAAGUUGAUGAACGAAACGUUGGUUGAUUUUUUAGAAACAAGACUGCCCGCAUUCACACCCACAUGAUUGGCACUUUUCAGAAACAAGACUGCCCGCAUUCACGCCCACAUGAUUGGCACUUUUAUCCCCCACAUUUUUGUUCAACAAAGUAUCAAACUCAACCCCAAAAAAUCGCCUUUCAUUAGAAAGCCCGAACAUUUUCUUGGAAAACUUGGAGGGGAAAUCAGUAGGCACAAUAACGAAGGAAAGGCCAUCUUAGUAGGCACAAUAACGAAGGAAAUAACGCUGGGUCAUAAAUUAUGGGUCGGGGCGGGUUUAAUUAAUGGAAUGGGGCAGGUCGUCUGGUCCAAUCAUAAGAUGCCACGUGCUACUAAAAUUUGGAGUUGAUUCAGAUGGAAAAUUCUCAAUUCAGAAGCUUUAAA